rnacentral:lncRNA from 1 species
CACCACACAAGACUUUUAAAAAACAUUGUGGACUAGUUUUGUUUUUUUUCCCGUAAAAGGUUUUCCAAAUUGGAAUGCUGGCAGCUCUUGCUAUCCCUGAGAAAAAUAGCAAAGCAAGAAUUUUUGUAAUUAGAGCUGCUUAAAAAUCAGAGUUUACCCACAUUGCAGAAUAUUCUCAUGUUUUAACUAAAAUAGCUGUGAUGUCUGAGCCACACUUGGGGCUAAUGAAAAAUGAAGGCCACAAGAAAGGUAAGGCAACAAGAGUGCCAGAAGAUGUGGAAUUUGUAUAACCCCAAACUGUGUUUUCCUAACUAAUCUUGGCAAGCUUAAAACCCUGGAAAGUCACAAUUCACUUCCCAGGCGAUCAUCCUGGACAGCUCAACAGCAGAAAAGCAGAACAGGAUAUCCAGCUAUUGAACCGGGCUGCCGGCCCAGGUGGCCAGCCUUGAAGCUGUGGAGAGCGCCUACCAGGAGGGCCGCAUGGGCUGCAGGAAGACACGUUCCUUUCCUCUGUCUGUUGUGAGCUGGAAAGGAAAGUACAGUCUGCACUCCCGAAACACUGCCUGCCAACACAGCACUUUUCAGCAAAGGUGAAAAGAGAGUAUGUCUCUAACAAUAAAUGUCACAAGAGGAACAAAUCAUUUAUAAGAUUCAGGAGGCCCCAACUCAAGCAGAUAGUUGGCAGUGGAAAAACAGCUUCAAUUUUAUUACUGUAUUGAAUGAGACAUAGCUUCACAGAUGUGAGACCAUUUAAGACCAAUUGUUUUUGUACCUAAAGUUACUUAAGUAUAUAGGAUGAAAGAAAUAAUGAGUUAGGGGGCUAGGGUUAGAUUCUCUGGUCUUGUGCUAAGAGUUCCAUGACAGGAAUUUUUAUCGUUAUUAAUGACAAGGUCUUCCUCCUGAUGCCAUUCUUCUAUUUUUGUAUUUUCCUUUGUUUGUUUUUUUAAGAAUGAAUUAUUUUCAUUCAAGUUAUGAAAUCCUCCCUCAGAAGUCUGUUUAUAUUUACAAAAUAUCCUAAUUUAUAUUUAUGAAAUAAUUCUCAAAUAAAUAAAUAAUAAAGAGAAGCAGGAAGAAUGAUAGAAAAUGUGUAUUUCCAAAAUUGAUAAAGCAAUCUAUUUGCUUGUCAUUGUAAAUCAAUACAAAACAAAUAAAUUUUAAAAAAAUUACUACUAAUUACAGAUUCUUUCGAGAAAAAAAUUGCAUUCUUUAAAUCUAGGAAACUUUUAUUCUAGUUCAUAAAACAAGAUGUGAAGAAAUAAUGUUUUAUACGUAAUUGUAUAUCCAAUUGGCAAGGUAGUAUAUGUGUUCAUUUUUCUUCUACAACUGAGUCUCAAUAAAUGCAUAUAUAUGAUAAAAAUAUGAUAAUAGACAAGUAGAUAAUAGGUAGAUAGCAGAUAUAACAGAUAAGUAGAUGCUAAGUCUACACAGCUGAGGAAUCAGACCUAAAAUUAUACCAUCAGUUUAGUUACAAUUUUGUGCCUAUAUAAUUUUUUAGAAGCCUAAACAUUAAAAUUUAAUACUCUUGUUAUCCUACAAGAAUAUUGGUUAACAUUUGAAUUACUGUAAAAAAUAUUCUAAAAUAGUCAAACCAAUUUACAAUUGCAAUAUACAAUCAAGAUCACCUGCAUGAAGACAAAAUUAAUAAAAGUGCAUCAGACUUUCAUUAACUUAAAUAACCAAUAUUAUUGUUUUCCUAAAGAUAAAGUUUCAUUUUAAGAAUAAAUGUCAAAUUAUUUUCAAUUUGCUGUAUAAGAAUUACUAGUUGGCGAAAUGAGUCAAUCCUCUGUUGGGGAGCAAUGUUGUUGGUGAACAGUGGUCAACCAGUCUAUACUUUGGGGAACAGGAGCAGGAUUGGUCAUCAAAAUGAGAGAAUCUGACCUACUGUACUAUUGUCUAUGAGAUGUCUUUCAUUUUGAUGUAGGUUUCUCCUUUAUUAGUAAACAGAUGACUUUUUAGUGAGGAAAAAACCCUGUUUUUUUCAUCUCAAUAGUCUUCUUAUAAAUUGAUGAAGAAGCUCAUCAAUAAAGAAAACUUGGUACACACCAGCUUUCAUGUAAAUUGUAUCAAUUCUUAACUAGAUUUUGCCUAGGAGCUAAUUUUUCAGACAUGAAAUUGCUUGGAAAUCCAGAAGGAUUUUCUUUUUCAUCUGGGGGCAAUCUGGUAGCAAUUUCAUAUCCCUUACUAAAUUUGAGAGUAUGUCUGUGUGUGCAUAAGUGCAUGUGUAUUUAUGUAGGUGUGUAUACUAGACUUUUCCUUUUUUUUAGUUUAUUUUUUAAUUAAAGAUUCUCCACUCAAAAUAUUAGAAAUUUAGUGAAGCAUAAGAAAACCACUACUCAAAAAAUCAUUGCCAAUAUGUUAGUAAGUAUAUAUUCAGAAUUUUCUAUGAACAAGCUCAUUUUAACAAAAACCAAAAAAAGAGGCAUAGGUGUACACACUGAGUAUCUUUAUUGUCUUGUUCAUUACAUCGUGACCAUGUUUUCUAUCAACCCAUAUGCAUUUGAAGUAUGGUAAUAAAAUCUGCAUGGCAUUCCGUUAUAUAAACGCACUCUAACCGAUUUAACUAAUCCCUACUCUGAGACAUUUACUGUGCUUCUGACUUUCUCCCAUUCUAAAAGAUGCCUCAAUUAAUAUUUUAUCAAAUCUGUGUUAAAACUGUGAUAAAUUUUUACUAGUGGAAUUGCUAAGCCAAAGUCAUUGUCUACUUUUAAAGCUUCUUAUUAAUAUAUCCAUAUUCUGCUCUUUAAAAGUUUGGUCAGUUUACUCUCCUAUGAGUAGUAUGUAUUAACACUUGUUUUCUCACAUAUCCACUGUCACUGGGAAGACUACUUGUAUUUUUUCAUAUUCAGGGUCACUGGAUACUAUUAAAAAAUAAAAAAUUGGGGUCAA